rnacentral:rRNA from 1 species
GGGAGGGGGUAAAAUUAAUAAAUAAAAUUUAAUAAAAAAAAUUUUAAUGUUAAAAAUAUAUAAUGGGGGUUAAAGUAUUUUUAAUAGAAAAAAUUUAAAAUUUUAUAGUUUAUUAGUAUUGUGAAAGAAUUUUGAAAUAGGUUGAAAAAUAAAUUUUUAAUAAAGUAGAUUUAGUUUAUUGUAUCUUGUGUAUCAGAGUUUAUUAAAAAUAGUUUAUUUUUUAAAUUUCUCGAAUUUAAAAGAGUUAAUUAAUUAAAAAAUUUAUUGUUUCAUAAAUAUUUUAAAUAGUUAGUUAGAAAUGAAAUGUUAUUCGUUUUUAAAUAUAUCUAGUUUUUUUAGAAAAAAAUUUAAUUUUUAAUUAAUUUUAAAAAUUAAUUAAUUAAUUUUAAUUAAUUUUAAAAAUUUAAUUUAAUAUUUUAAGGGAUAAGCUUUAAAUUAAAUUAUUAUAAUUUAUAUUAAAAUUUUUUGAAAUUUUUAUGAUUUGUAUUUUUAAUAAAUUAUAAUUUGUUAUAAAUAAUUUCAAUAAAAUUAAAAUUUAAAUUAAAUUUAAUUAUUUAUAAAAAAUUAUUUUAAAAUUAAUUAUAUUAAGUUAUAAUGAUAAAAUUAGUAUAUAAAUUAUUAAUAAAAUAAUAUUAAAAUAUUUUUAUUUGUGAUAAUUAUUUUAAAGGAAUUCGACAAAUGUGUAUAUUCACCUGUUUAUCAAAAACAUGUCUUUUUGGGUUAUAAUUUAAAGUCUAAUCUGCCCACUGAUUUUAUUAAUUAAAGGGCUGCAGUAUUUUGACUGUACAAAGGUAGCAUAAUCAUUAGUCUCUUAAUUGGUGACUUGUAUGAAGGAUUGGAUGAAAUAUAAAUUGUCUCUAAUAUAUUAAAUUGAAUUUAAUUUUUUGAUUAAAAAGUCAAAAUAUUUUAAAAAGACGAGAAGACCCUAUAGAGUUUUAUAUUUAAGUGAAUUUAAAUUGUAAAUUUAUAAAAUUAAUUUAAAUUUAUUUAAAUAUUUUAUUGGGGUGAUAGAAAAAUUUAUAUAACUUUUUUUAAAAUUUACCAUAAAUAAGUGAAUUUUUGAUCCAAUUUUAUUGAUUAUAAGAAAAAAUUACCUUAGGGAUAACAGCGUAAUUUUUUUUUUUAGUUCAAAUAAGAAAAAGAGUUUGCGACCUCGAUGUUGGAUUAAGAUAAAAUUUAAAUGCAAAAGUUUAAAAUUUUUGAUCUGUUCGAUCAUUAAAAUCUUACAUGAUCUGAGUUCAAACCGGUGUGAGCCAGGUUGGUUUCUAUCUUUUAAUAUAUUUAAUAUUUUAGUACGAAAGGAUCAAAUAUUAUAAUUAAAUUAAUUUUAAAUGAAUAUUACUAAAAUGCGAAUAAAUUGUUAAUUAUUAUUAUUACUAUUUUGGCAGAAAAAUGU